rnacentral:lncRNA from 1 species
AGAAAGAAAUAUUCAGACAGGAAAAGAAAAAAGAAACUGACCUGCAUAAUACUUUAGUAAUACGAGUAGAGUCUUCCCCAUUAGCUAUACUCUGAAGUAUAACAGAGCAAUUCAAAUUCCAGGAAUCGUCCUUUGAGCCUUUCAUGUACACAUAACACCUCGUCUUUUCAUUAGCAGCUCCAAUGGGGAACCUUAAUGGCUAAUAAGGGAAGUCGAAAACAUGAAACAUCAUACGAAAAUGUGCAAACCUUGAAUCACCAAAACUGCAAUUAAUGUUUCUUAUCUAAAGAGACUCAGAUAUUGAAAAUUCAGCCAUUGGAAAUCAAAUCAAAAC